rnacentral:rRNA from 1 species
UACGUAGGGCGCAAGCGUUGUCCGGAAUUAUUGGGCGUAAAGAGCUCGUAGGCGGCCAGUUGCGUCUGCUGUGAAAUCCCGGGGCUCAACCCCGGGCGUGCAGUGGAUACGGGCUGGCUAGAGGCAGGCAGGGGAGAACGGAAUUCCCGGUCUAGCGGUGAAAUGCGCAGAUAUCGGGAGGAACACCGGUGGCGAAGGCGGUUCUCUGGGCCUGUACUGACGCUGAGGAGCGAAAGCGUGGGGAGCGAACAGG